rnacentral:rRNA from 1 species
CAUCACUACGCUAGAUGCAUAUCAAUAAGCGGAGGAAAAGAAACUAACAAGGAUUCCCUUAGUAACGGCGAGUGAAGCGGGAAGAGCUCAAAUUUGAAAUCUUCAAGGUUUUACCUUGACGAAUUGUAGAUUAAAGAAGUGUUUUCUGUUGAAGUUUUGGUAAAAGUUCUUUGGAAUAGGACAUCAUAGAGGGUGAGAAUCCCGUAUUUGACCAUUAUUUUCAGCUGUGUGAUACACUUUCAAAGAGUCGGAUUGUUUGGGAAUGCAGUCCAAAAUGGGUGGUAAAUUUCAUCUAAAGCUAAAUAUUGGCGAGAGACCGAUAGCGAACAAGUACCGUGAGGGAAAGAUGAAAAGAACUUUGAAAAGAGAGUUAAACAGUACGUGAAAUUGUCAAAAGGGAAGCGUUUGACACCAGUGUUGUUUUCUCGAAAAUCAAUUAAAAAAGGCCGGAUUUUGUGUUGUAUUGACCUUAAAAGCUUUCUUCACUCUUUUCUUGUCUUUUUUAAUGCACUUUUCGUUUAACAAGUCAACAUCAGUUUCUUUUGUCGUAAAAGGGUCAUUGGAAGGUGGCUUUCUUUUCGGAGAAAGUGUUUAUAGCCUUUGAUCUCUGCAACCGGAGAGACUGAGGUCUGCAGCGUAGACUCUUCGGGGUUAGAUACAUUUGUGCUAAGUUAUAGCCUUUCAUAGACAACUUGUUGACUAUGAUCAGUCAUGUAGCUUACUCGCUUAUGCUAUUGUACCUACGCUUAGGAUGUUGACGAGACUGUCGAUCUC